rnacentral:rRNA from 1 species
AGAAUUUGAUCCUGGUUCAGAUUGAAUGCUGACGGCGUGGAUGAGGCAUGCAAGUCGUACGAAGUAGUAGCAAUAUUACUUAGUGGCGGAAGGGUUAGCAAUACAUGAAUAAUCUGCCUUUUACCUGGGAAUAACGAUUGGAAACGGUCGCUAAUACCGAAUGACGAUAAAAAGUGGCAUCGCUUUUUAUUGAAAGUUGGGGACUUUUUAAAGAAGCCUAGCGGUAAAAGAAGAGUUCAUGCGAUAUCAGCUUGUUGGUGUGGUAAAAGCGCACCAAGGCUAGGACGUCUAGGCGGAUUGAGAGAUUGAUCGCCAACACUGGGACUGAGACACUGCCCAGACUCCUACGGGAGGCUGCAGUCGAGAAUCUUUCGCAAUGGGCGAAAGCCUGACGAAGCGACGCCGUGUGAGCGAAGAAGGCCUUAGGGUUGUAAAGCUCUUUUGCUUGAGAACAAGAGAAGCGAAUGAAUAAUUCGCUGAUUUGAGGGUAUCAGGUAAAGAAGCACCGGCUAACUCCGUGCCAGCAGCUGCGGUAAUACGGAGGGUGCAAGCAUUAAUCGGAUUUAUUGGGCGUAAAGGGGGCGUAGGCGGUUAGGAAAGUCAGGUAUGAAAUUCCGAGGCUCAACUUCGGAGCUGUACCUGAAACUUCUUGACUAGGGGAUAGACGGAGAAAACGGAAUUCCACGUGUAGCGGUGAAAUGCGUAGAUAUGUGGAAGAACACCGGUGGCGAAAGCGGUUUUCUAGUUUAUUCCUGACGCUGAGGCCCGAAAGCAUGGGUAGCAAACAGGAUUAGAUACCCUGGUAGUCCAUGCCGUAAACGAUGCAUACUAGAUGUAGUUGGACUCAACCCCGACUGUGUCGUAGCUAACGCGUUAAGUACGCCGCCUGGGGAGUACACUCGCAAGGGUGAAACCCAAAAGAAUUGACGGGGGCCCGCACAAGCAGUGGAGCAUGUGGUUUAAUUCGAUGCAACGCGAAGAACCUUACCUGGGCUCGAAGUUUAGAGGACAGCUCCAGAAAUGGAGUCUCUUGUAAAAGUCUCUAUAUAGGUGCUGCAUGGCUGUCGUCAGCUCGUGCCGUGAGGUGUUGGGUUAAGUCCCGCAACGAGCGCAACCCUUAUCGUUAGUUGCCAGCAUUUAAGGUGGGGACUCUAACGAGACUGCCUGGGUUAACCAGGAGGAAGGCGAGGAUGACGUCAAGUCCGCAUGGCCUUUAUGUCCAGGGCUACACACGUGCUACAAUGGCCGGUACAGAGGGCAGCAAUACCGUGAGGUGGAGCAAAUCUCAAAAAACCGGUCCCAGUUCGGAUUGUAGUCUGCAACUCGACUACAUGAAGCCGGAAUUGCUAGUAAUGGCGUGUCAGCAAUAACGCCGUGAAUACGUUCCCGGGCU